rnacentral:lncRNA from 1 species
UCCUUUGAACUUAGACUUCAAAUUCACAUCGCUUUGGAUACCUCCGUAUCUGCAACCAAAACAUGCAACUUGAUACCACACGUAUCAGAAGCUAACAUCAAGCACAACGUCGACCAUCGACUUAGCCAACCUGGCUCUGAUACCACUUGUCACGGGGUGAGUGUUUUCUUACCCAAACACCCGUGCGGCGCCCCAGCAUGCCACACACCAAGGCCAGCCCUCUCGAGUCCUUUCCUCGGACAU